AUUAAUCUUGGCCCUGACAAAAUUAUAUUCAUGGCUAUAUUGCACACAAAAUACUAACAGCACUCUGCACUGAAGAUGGCAAACAACAUAUAUGCUGUCGUUGAAUUUAUAGAGGAACAAUUAGUGGAAAUUGUUGCAACAUGUUGCAUUGAGACAAUUGAUUGUGAAUUAUACUGCUACUGGCCACGAAAUAAUGCAUCUCAUAAAUUAAGGAAGCUCGAGAUUCCAGACAAAGAAACUUGGAUUGCUUAUAAAGUCAGAGUUUUCUCAUAUACAGAUUCAGUAGCAAAAGCACAAAAGAUUUUGAAAA